rnacentral:lncRNA from 1 species
UCACAAUGUAAUUAAAAGACUCAAAUCCUUAUCUGACAUCUUUGCUGCGUGGUUUUGGUUAUUUGCCAUUUUAUAUAUAGUCUAGAGUCUCAACUUUCCUUUUGUAUGAUAGCUGAAAUACAUCUUUCUGUUGAAUAUCUUACUUUCUGUUUAGAGUCUGAUAAGUCUCAGCCAAGAUCAUUGUCUGUGUGUUUGGGUAGUAGGCAUACCUUGCUAUGUACGUCCCAUAUUGCUUGCAGUUCUUUGGAGGUUACAUGAUUAAACUGGCUGUAAUGUGAAUUAGUGUCUAUGUCACAGAAAUUCCCCAUGCAAUUAUCACCCCUUGGAAAUGCUGCAGUGCCAGGUUUAGUUCUGAUAACAAGAACUGGUGCUUCUGUGCCUCCUUUAAUCAUCCUCUUUUGUUUACACUCUUUUUGGAGAAGCGACUGAUCACAACUCCUGUAACAGUAGGUACACGCUGGCAGCAGAAGAAUGCAGAGCUUGUGGUGUUAUUCUGCUUCAUAAACCUGUGUCCUUGAAGUCUCCUGCAUCCCUGCCCUGUCAGACUGAUUUAUGCAGUAGCCAUGUUUGUCAAAGUAUUUGGCACCAGUGACAUCAUCUUUGUUGAAAUGCCGGACAGCGUGAUGAGUCCCAGAUGUUAAUGCACACCAAAAGCUGAGAAAGAAUGAAAUAUAAAGAUCAACUGUAACAGCUAUGGAGGACUGUACUCAGUUUGCAUCUGAUGAUGAAUGAUGCAUGAAGAAUAUGGGAUUUUUUCAAGGGUUCCUAAAGCUAAAGUGUUAAGGCUGUCACAGACCAUCCAUCCCGAGCAGCACUGCACCACAAUUCAAGAAAACCUCCUUCAACCAGCAUGCAAGCCUUCAUCAGAAGGCAAAACGCAAGUCUGAGAGGAUAAUAACUGAGACAUUCUUUUAAUAAGGACCAUUUUUAAAUGUUAAGAAUGACUUGUUUUAAUUGAAGGAGAGGAAAGGAACUCCUACCAAGAGUCAAAGAGAUCCCCCAGAGCUCUCUGAAAUCUUCAAAUUGUCUUGCAUAGCAAUUCCUGAAUAUCAGAAAUGAAUAAAGGUUAUAAAAUCUUUCUUAUAAAGCCA